rnacentral:rRNA from 1 species
UACGUAGGGGGCAAGCGUUGUCCGGAAUUAUUGGGCGUAAAGAGCGCGUAGGCGGUCCGAUAAGUCGGCUGUGAAAGUCAGGGGCUCAACCCUUGGAAGCCGGCCGAUACUGUCGGACUAGAGUCCGGAAGAGGCGAGUGGAAUUCCCGGUGUAGCGGUGAAAUGCGCAGAUAUCAGGAGGAACACCGGUGGCGAAGGCGGAUCUCUGGGCCUUACCUGACGCUGAGGCGCGAAAGCUAGGGGAGCGAACAGG